rnacentral:rRNA from 1 species
UACGUAGGGGGCAAGCGUUGUCCGGAUUUAUUGGGCGUAAAGAGCUCGUAGGCGGCUCGGUAAGUCGGAUGUGAAACCUCCAGGCUCAACCUGGAGACGCCAUCUGAUACUGCCGUGGCUUGAGUCCGGUAGAGGAGCAGGGAAUUCCUGGUGUAGCGGUGAAAUGCGCAGAUAUCAGGAGGAACACCAGCGGCGAAGGCGCUGCUCUGGGCCGGAACUGACGCUGAGGAGCGAAAGCGUGGGGAGCGAACAGG